UCCUUUUUAAUGCAACAUAACAGCAAAAUAAUUACAGUAACUAACACUAAAUGUUAAAAUGUAUUGGCAUAUUUAGAAAGUAACAUUACAUGAUAGUUCACCCAGCCCCAAAAAAAGAAUUUGUCUCAUUUUCCUAUCUUCAACUCAUUCCAAAUCUGUAUGACUUUCUUCAAAAUAGCUUCUUUUGUGUUCUGCAGAAGAAAGCAUGUUGGGACGCAAGCUACACUGGAGCCAAUUGAUGUCAUUACGCGCUCCAGACUGCCAUUAACACACUCAGGACCGUUAGCAGAGGCUGUGGAAUACAGUGACGGUAGCUGAUGUUGACUUGCAUUAUAAGAAUCAUCAAGGACAACAGUUUCAGCUAAAGAUUUUCUUUACAUUUCUACUGAAGAAAAAAGACCCCUUAGGGUGAACAAUUUCACUGUAACGGAGGAACGUGAACAUUUUAUAAAACAUCUUCUUUUUGUGUCUCAUAAUGCAGACUCGGAGCAA